CAAGUCGAGCGAUGAAGUUUCCUUCGGGAAAUGGAUUAGCGGCGGACGGGUGAGUAACACGUGGGUAACCUGCCUUAUAGUGGGGGAUAGCCUUUCGAAAGGAAGAUUAAUACCGCAUAAGAUUGUAGUAUCGCAUGAUAUAGCAAUUAAAGGAGCAAUUCGCUAUAAGAUGGACCCGCGUCGCAUUAGCUAGUUGGUGAGGUAAUGGCUCACCAAGGCGACGAUGCGUAGCCGACCUGAGAGGGUGAUCGGCCACAUUGGGACUGAGACACGGCCCAGACUCCUACGGGAGGCAGCAGUGGGGAAUAUUGCACAAUGGGCGAAAGCCUGAUGCAGCAACGCCGCGUGAGUGAUGACGACCUUCGGGUUGUAAAACUCUGUCUUCAGGGACGAUAAUGACGGUACCUGAGGAGGAAGCCACGGCUAACUACGUGCCAGCAGCCCGCGGUAAUACGUAGGUGGCAAGCGUUGUCCGGAUUUACUGGGCGUAAAGGGAGCGU
rnacentral:rRNA from 1 species